rnacentral:rRNA from 1 species
UACGGAGGAUUCGAGCGUUAUCCGGAUUUAUUGGGUUUACAGGGUGCGUAGGUGGAUUAAUAAGUCAGUGGUGAAAGCCCGAAGCUCAACUUCGGCACUGCCAUUGAUACUGUUAAUCUUGAGUACAGUUGAGGUGGGCGGAAUGUGUCAUGUAGCGGUGAAAUGCUGAGAUAUGACACAGAACACCGAAUGCGAAGGCAGCUCACUAAGCUGUAACUGACACUGAGGCACGAAAGCGUGGGGAGCAAACAGG